AGGGGCGAUCAUAUCAACAUUAAUGCAUUAAAUCUCAUUAGAGUUUAACAGUUAAAUGUAUUUGGCCGAGAACAGUAAUAAGAUAGAUGACUUCCAUAUAAGUCGUCGUCUUGCACCAU
rnacentral:rRNA from 2 species